rnacentral:lncRNA from 1 species
UGACUGAACAGACCUCUAUUUAAAGCUCCCGUUCCAAGAACUUGUCCUUCAGCACAUGUCCUGCAUCCCUAGAAGUCUCAAAGGGGGUUAGGAGCCAAGAGAAGGAUGCCAGAGAUCAAGAGGUGCGCUUCUGUAAUGGGUUCUGACAGUAUUUAUCAAAUCCACAGCUCUUGCCGUGCUGCAUACAUGGAAAUGAAGCUCUCAGUCCUGAUUCAGUCCCUGAUUCCCUUCAGCAUGCAAGCUGUGCUUAGUUCCAAAAUGUGA